rnacentral:rRNA from 1 species
ACCGAGUGAGGGCCCUCUGGGUCCAACCUCCCACCCGUGUUUAUUUUACCUUGUUGCUUCGGCGGGCCCGCCUUAACUGGCCGCCGGGGGGCUCACGCCCCCGGGCCCGCGCCCGCCGAAGACACCCUCGAACUCUGUCUGAAGAUUGAAGUCUGAGUGAAAAUAUAAAUUAUUUAAAACUUUCAACAACGGAUCUCUUGGUUCCGGCAUCGAUGAAGAACGCAGCGAAAUGCGAUACGUAAUGUGAAUUGCAAAUUCAGUGAAUCAUCGAGUCUUUGAACGCACAUUGCGCCCCCUGGUAUUCCGGGGGGCAUGCCUGUCCGAGCGUCAUUGCUGCCCUCAAGCCCGGCUUGUGUGUUGGGCCCCGUCCUCCGAUUUCCGGGGGACGGGCCCGAAAGGCAGCGGCGGCACCGCGUCCGGUCCUCGAGCGUAUGGGGCUUUGUCACCCGCUCUGUAGGCCCGGCCGGCGCUUGCCGAUCAACCCAAAUUUUUUAUCCAGGUUGACCUCGGAUCAGGUAGGGAUACCCGCUGAACUUAA